CCAAACCGGUUGAAGAUAUCCCGCGCUAUCGUCUCCCAUCGGGUAGACCCAGUAACCAAAGGCUCCCUGGUUUCCGCAGGAGUGAGUAAUGACCAUGUAUGGAUCAAUGCCGCAGCUCUGUGUAGUACCUGCAAAAAAUGUAUGUUUGUAUGUCUGUGAAAAACCACAUCAUUCCUACAGUUCCAUAUGGCCCAAAAUAGUGCACAAACUCCAAUACGAAUGUGUCUAGCUAGAAUCUUAUCCACUCCAUCUAGCCACGUUCCAAAUAACAUGUCAAUACUGUCCGGAGGUAUAAUAUUAAAAGCUAUACGAACCGUGUGCCAAAGAACUCUCGAA
rnacentral:lncRNA from 1 species